UCUGUCGAUUCCGGUUGUUGUGCAACCCAAUCCGUUUGAGCUUUCCGUCUUCAGUGCUUAGUGCUACGAUAAGAGCAGUGUUUGCUGCUGAAGCUUUGGAGCGCUUGCUUGUUUCGUGUAUGCUUUGCGGUAUGAAUUAUUGUGAUACCCCUCGGCAUUCGCGCUGGUGAUUCGGUGUGCGAGGAGCGCGAAGAAUCCUUCUCCCAUUCCCCGGAGGAUCAUUGCAACGUGAGUUUAAUCAAGUUUGACCGGGUGGAAAGUGAAGGCGCCUGUUUCUGAUCCAAGCCGAUUUCACGUGUUUCGAAAAUUUUAAAAGUUGUUGUGGAAGUUGUGUGUGAACGAGGUGUAGAAUUACCACCGCGCUUUGGAUGCUGUAACAGUAUCCCUGGGAGUAUUCCUGAGCAGUGUUAUCGAUACCAGAAGGUAAUAAAGAGAAAAGUUAACUUUUGCCUUCGCCGAAUGUGAAACGGAGCAACAGAAUAGAAGAAUAGAAUUAAUGUGUACAUUUUAGAUUUAUCCCCGGAACGAUACGUCGCGACUAUUGUGGAACGUGAAAGAUUUAUACGCUGCCAGGCGUAAGGCAAUUUCGGAUCGUCCUGACGCAUCGUUUUGCAAGUGUUCGCAGUGUGUUUUCUUCUUCCGGAAGGCAUAUCCCACGAUGAGCUGAGCUCGGUCCUCCUCCUCCUCCCAGCAUCGACAGUAAAAGCCAAAUGAAAACAAAUAAAUUUACGAAUCAGGCAAGCGAAGUGAAAUAAAUAACAGGAGAAUAAAUGUUUAUUGCAUCCACAUGGUUAAGCCACCAGUAAAAAGCUCCCCCAACUUGGCCGAGAGUUUGGAUUAGCCGCGAAGGCAGCAAAAAGGAGUGCUGCUGUGAUCUUCGACGGUUUAUGUGUUUUUUUUUUCGGUGAGUGCUUACUUUCCCGAAUCCGAGUUGUUCCUCUCAUUAGUGCGCUUCCGAGCCUGGCUCGGCGGUAAAUUGUUAAGUGAAGUAAAUUUGGUUUGGUGAAUUAUUGCGCCGAAGAUAAUAAAAACAGCGUGAAAUCAGCGGUGGAAAGUAUUUAUCGCCCGAAGAAGUCUCACGGAAGAAUUUGGAUUGGGUGCAAGCGUGAUCUCAUCGGGGCUGAGAAGUGUUGUGUUUUAUUGGUGGCAAAAUCAGUUCCUAGGAGGAAGUGUCAGUAGCAGACGUUGUUUGCAUUGUCAACUUUAAGCUCGACUGCUCAUCGGCCGUUUGUGUGAAAGUACCUAGAGGAAAUUUUUGAACGAAUCCACCUCCACUCUCAAAGCGAUUCCCAUUUGCGUUCGACGAAAUUGUUGCAAGAUCUCCGAUGGCAUCACUUCAGCGAAUCGCUUGAAUUCGCUCGUUUCGUGAUACCACCGUCACCUCAUCCUCAACACCCCAGUACUCCUCCUGUGACCUGUGGUGGAGGACAAGAGACACACAUUCUUGAAGAAAUUUACACGGACCCGUCUCUUUGAUAUCGACAAUUUUCAAGAGGUGAGGAACGCUCUACCAGCCUUAUCUGGGAAGGGUUAACCCAGACGUCGAGUGGGGAUCGCACCCACAAAAACCAAGCCCUCUACUCGUUGCCUUAUUCCCCCUGGGACCACAUCUAGGCGACUACUUCAGGGGGCGGCUGUGCUCAUGCACUCUUCGAGUUUUCAACGCUGACUAGCGUUGUCCUUCCCUUUUUCUCAACAUCUUUUUGUCUCUCUAUUCGCUUUUCAUUCCACUGCGCUUAUGUCCUCUUCGCAGGCAUCCAUUUACCCGUCGAGACGUGUACCGAUUAGGAAUUGCCCUCCAACUUGACGCGCAACCCGUCACAGUCACCAUCGCGGGAUUUCUCACCUGUCGAGACGUGCACCGAUUAGGAAGCGCCCUCCAACUUGACGCGCGCCCCGUCACAAUCACCCUCGCAGGAUUUCUCUUCCCAGCGGAGUGCCGAUUAGGUAGUGCCCUCCUACAUGACGCGCACUCCGUCACAGCUACUCUCGUGGGGUAUACACCAUUUUGAUCACGGCUUCAUCCUUCGCGGUGUUUCUCCAUCCAGGCCACGAUCAGGCGUUGCCAGGCAGGCAUUUUUGCUGUUCUCCGCGGCAGUAUCCGGUUACCUGUCGAGACGUGCACCGAUUAGGAAGCGCCCUCCAACUUGACGCGCGCCCCGUCACAGUCACCCUCGCAGGAUUUCUCUCCCAGCGGAGCGCCAAUUAGGUAGUGCCCUCCAACAUGACGCGCACUCCGUCACAGCUACUCUCGUGGGGUAUGCACCAUUUUGAUCAUGGUUUCAUCCUUGAUGCUCGCUCCUUCGAAACGUUCGCAGUGUUUCUCCAUCCAGACCACGAUCAGGCGUUGCCAGGCAGGCAUUUUUGCUCUUCUCCGUGGCAGUAUCCGGUUACCUGUCGAGACGUGCACCGAUUAGGAAGCGCCCUCCAACUUGACGCGCGCCCCGUCACAGUCACCCUCGCAGGAUUUCUCUCCCCAGCGGAGCGCCGAUUAGGUAGUGCCCUCCAACAUGACGCGCACUCCGUCACGGCGGCUCUCGGGGGGGACUAUCCGGUACUACAGCCGUCUCGAUUAUUCAUCUCUUAUGGUCAGGCGUUAUCCGCAUGCUGGUCGGUCCUCCACUUCCGCUGUAGCUCGGACAUGAUAUGUACGAUUGCACUGUUUACUGCGUUCCAGGUGCCCUCGUCACGACACAUUUCCUCCACGAUGUUCCCAGCAUGAAGGGUAGGCAGCCCCUCACGCACUGUGGUGAAUCUGGGACAUUCGAAUACGAUGUGUUCCGGUGUUUCCUCCACAUUUCCACACUCCGGACAAAGAGGCGAUCUUGCGUGUCCGAACCGGUGCAGAUACUGCCUGAAGCAGCCAUGACCAGACAAAAACUGCGUUAGAUGGAAAUUUACCUCUCCGUGUUUCCUGUUCACCCAGCCCAUUAGUGUCGGUAUGAGCCUGUGCGUCCACCUGCCGUUUUGCGCGGCACUCCACUCUUGCUGCCACCUAGCCAUCGACUCCGCCCUCAUUAGCUUCCGGAUUCCUCUGGUUCCCCUCCUCCUAUAGCACUCGCUGUCCUCCGCCAAGAUGAUGUCUAUGGGGACCAACCUGGCUAUGACGUAGACCGCUUCUGUUGACACGGUUCUGUACGCACUCGCGACUCGCAUCGCCAUGAGCCGGUACGUACUAUUCAGCCUCUUCGUGUUCCGCUGAGUUUCUAACGCCGCGAUCCAGGCUGGACUACCGUAACGUAGUGUCGAUGAGGAGACACUAGCCAAGAGGUGCCUCUUGCUGCUGCUUGGGCCAAAGUUGUUGGGCAUGAUUCGUGUCAGUGCAUUGAUUGCCUUCGUUGCUUUUUUACAAGCGUAGUCGACGUGACUGUUGAAGUUCAGUCGAUCGUCGAUCUGCACCUCCAGGUAUUUUAGGUCUCGCUUCGAGGUUAUCGAGUGCUCUCCAAUUGUGAUUUCUGCACGUUGCACCGCCCUGCGGUUGCUGACAAUCAGCAUUUCCGUCUUGUGGUGGGCUAUCUGCAGUUUCACACUUUGCAUCCACCUUCCGAUCAUGUCUAUCGACUCGGUCGCGAGCAUUUCGACCCGUUCCAAAGAUUCCCCUGUCGCGAGAAUAACGAUGUCAUCCGCGAAGCCAAUGAUCUCCACACCUCUGGGCAGAUUCAGUUUUAGUACACCAUCGUACAUACUGUUCCAGAGCGAUGGGCCCAGGAUAGAGCCCUGCGGAACUCCCGCCGUAGUUUUAAUCUGCGCCUGGCCCGUGUUUGUCUCGUACACCAGCACACGGUUCUCGAAGUAGCUUCUCAGUAUUCUACACAGGUAGUCUGGGACUUUCAUCGUGUGGAGCGCAGUCGCGAUGGCCUCCCAGCUGGCACUAUUGAACGCGUUCUUAACGUCGAUCAUUAUCACUGCGCAGUAUCGAUUUCCUCUGAGCUUCUGUUUGGAUGCUCUGUUGGCUCUUUCGACCACUAUGCGAAUGGCAUCUACCGUGGAUAUCCCUUUCCGAAAUCCGAAUUGAUUAUCGGACAGUCCACGAACUCCCUCCGUGCAUUCCGUCAGCCUAUUAAGGAUGAUUCUUUCCAAAAGUUUCCCAAGAAUGUCCAACAGGCAUAUGGGUCUAUACGAUGCUGGACCACCCGGCGUCUUUCCUGGCUUGGGCAGUAGUACUAGCUGUUGUACCUUCCAUCGAUCCGGAAAGUAGCAUUCGUCUAGACACUUCUGCAUGGCUGUCCUGAACAUAUCAGGGAAUGCUAGGACUGCCGCUUUCAAAGCUACGUUGGGGAUUCCAUCUGGGCCAGGCGCUUUCUUCGUUUUUAGGCGUUUGAUAGCUGCAACUAGCUCAUCGUUCGUCACAUCUCUGCGUUCGAUGCUAUCCUCAUCCUCUCCAUAUGGCGUGGGUGGCCAGGUCGUUGGGUCGUGCUGCGGAAAUAACCCUUCCACGAUAAUUUUUAAUUUUUCGGGACACAUUUCGGAAGGUGUCGUUGGGCCCCUGA